GCUCUUUCCGACUUCAAGGAAAACAUGCUCUCCAAAUCGGUCCUUAAAAUCGAUACUUGCCGUUAUUUGGAGGAAAAUUGGCCUAUAGGAGACKAAGACCUUGGGAAAAUUCAUAAAAUUUAUCGUCUAGUUUCUUAUCAUCGCUGUUCCCGAUGGAUUUUUCAGAUUUUKGGGAAAAAAGUACGUCGUCCAUUCCCAGCAUGUGUCUAUUCUAAAAUUCGAACARCAUUCGCUUCUCCAGAUGGAUUGUACACACACUUUAAAUACCCAUCAAAGAAGAAAAAGUAAAUAUACUUCUUAGCCCUUGUGGCACAYAUUCCUUUGCACGAACAUGAUAUACUUGAAUUGAGGAGACGUUCUGGAACAACAGCUGGAGAACUGUAUCUUGUAUGCCUAUUUUGAACAAUUUGCUCUUUUGGGGGAUGUGCCUUUCCAGCAAGAUAUUUAUCAACUAGAGAUUGGGGCUCAGCUGGCAGAACUUGCUGUGUUUUAUGAUUCAUUAAAGAUCGACAACCUUGUUUGUUACAAAGUGUAUUAAAGAUACAAAUUUGAAAUGUAUUUAUUUGUAUACAUUUAGAAUGUUACCUUGCACUGAGGGAAUGGUAUGAAAAGUACGUGUUUUUUGGAGCAAGCAAAUUAUCCAAGGAAUGCUUUGCUUCCAGUYCAGACGUUUGGUGAUAUUUUGAAAGCUUGCGAAUUGCAGCAAGUAGCCGUGGUCUACUUAUCAUAUCUGUUAGUUUCUUGUGGCAUGCUGACCCUACAUAAAUUUUUCAGUUYAUACUUUAGAUUAAACAAACAUUUUAUCUGAUUCUAGGAGGAUUGAGUUGGGCUAGGUUUGUAUUUAAAAUUGCUAGUAUCAUAUCUAUUACAUUUUUAGAAAUACAUGUUAGGCAAAACCAUAGUACAAGAGUACCUGAUUUAAUCCAAUUUCUUUCAACAGUAGGAUGGAGACAUUUGGUGAAAAUUUUGUUGCCUGUGUGCUCAUGAAUAUUGACAAUAUGAUUUAUGAUGCUCAGCCACUUUUCCUCUCUUUCAUCUUCACUGUUGCUUGAAUUUCCAACCCAGUAGAUAUGGUUGAUGAUUGACUAUAUUAGAUAGAAUUUGAA